rnacentral:rRNA from 1 species
GUGUCAGCAGCCGCGGUAAUACGUAGGAUGCAAGCGUUGUCCGGAAUUACUGGGCGUAAAGCGCGCGCAGGCGGCGCCUUAAGUUGGACGUGAAAGCUCCCGGCUCAACUGGGAAGGGUCGUUCAAAACUGAGGUGCUUGAGGGCAGGAGAGGAAAGUGGAAUUCCCGGUGUAGUGGUGAAAUGCGUAGAUAUCGGGAGGAACACCAGUGGCGAAGGCGGCUUUCUGGCCUGCAUCUGACGCUGAGGCGCGAAGGCUGGGGGAGCGAACGGGAUUAGAUACCCCGGUAGUCCCAGCAGUAAACGAUGGAUACUAGGUGUUCGUGGCAUUGACCCCACGAGUGCCGAAGCCAACGCGUUAAGUAUCCCGCCUGGGGAGUACGGUCGCAAGACUAAA